AUUGAACGCUGGCGGCAUGCUUUACACAUGCAAGUCGAACGGUAGGGUAGCAAUACCUGAGAGUGGCGAACGGGUGAGUAAUGUAUCGGAACGUGCCCAAGAGUGGGGGAUAGCCCGGCGAAAGCCGGAUUAAUACCGCAUACGAUCUAUGGAUGAAAACGGGGGACCGCAAGGCCUCGUGCUCCUGGAGCGGCCGCUAUCAGAUUAGGUAGUUGGUGGGGUAAAGGCUCACCAAGCCAACGAUCUGUAGCUGGUUUGAGAGAACGACCAGCCACACUGGGACUGAGACACGGCCCAGACUCCCACGGGAGGCAGCAGUGGGGAAUUUUGGACAAUGGGCGCAAGCCUGAUCCAGCAAUGCCGCGUGCAGGAUGAAGGCCUUCGGGUUGUAAACUGCUUUUGUACGGAGCGAAAAGGCUUCUUCUAAUACAGGAGGCUCAUGACGGUACCGUAAGAAUAAGCACCGGCUAACUACGUGCCAGCCGCCGCCGUAA
rnacentral:rRNA from 1 species